UACGCAGGCGGUUUGUUAAGCAAGAUGUGAAAGCCCCGGGCUCAACCUGGGAACUGCAUUUUGAACUGGCAAACUAGAGUCUUGUAGAGGGGGGUAGAAUUUCAGGUGUAGCGGUGAAAUGCGUAGAGAUCUGAAGGAAUACCGGUGGCGAAGGCGGCCCCCUGGACAAAGACUGACGCUCAGGUACGAAAGCGUGGGGAGCAAACAGGAUUAGAUACCCUGGUAGUCC
rnacentral:rRNA from 1 species